UUGAAGUCAAGAACCUGUUGCCAAGAGAGGGGAGGAGCUUGUAAAGAAGAAGACUUCUAUUACAAAUUUAGAUAGUUCAAAGUUGCUAAACAGAUUGUUUUUACUCUUCAAUGGUUCUUCUGCAGCUGAAAAUCUUCCUCCAGAAUCUACAGUUACUCCCGUGAAUAAUGCAUUGAAAGCAAAACUGAUGUCUGUUUUCUGUCGGUCUAUCACUGCAGCAAAUAGUUUUCCAUCAACUCUGCAGUGCAUUUUUGGCUGCAUAUAUGGAAGUGGUAGCACCUCAAGGUUGAAGCAGUUGGCAUGCAAUUUACUGUCUGGGUAUUUAAACAUGCAACAAUUGAUCAACUGAAGCUUAUGGGACCUGUUAUCCUUAAUGGGGUUCUGAAAUUACUUGAUGGAUUUUCAAACUUAGAGUCAGAUAUUAUUGCGAGAGAGACCAAAACUUUUUCUUUCCAAGCAAUUGGAUUACUUGCACAGCGUCUUCCUCAACUUUUCAGAGACAAGAUUGACAUGGCUAUUCGGCUUUUCAAUGCACUGAAAUUAGAGACGCAAUCUCUUCGUUUUGUUAUUCAGAGCAACUAAUUUACUUGCUUCUGCCUAUAAGGUAUGCUAAUUUGCU